GGUCAGUUCCGUAAAAACCUGUGGAAGCCUUGGGAGAAGAGCAGGAAAUGAGGUCCAGCCUGGGAAGGUGGGGUGUGUCCUGAGGGUGAUGGACGGGAGGCUGAAGGUAGCUUGGAGAUGGAGAGGACCAGCACCCCAACUGGCCGGAUGCCCGCAGCCCGGGCAGGGGUUCAUUGCAGGAAGGACACUUGUCUGAGAGAGACAGCGAGAGAGGGAACACAAGCAGGGGGAGCGGGAGAGGGAGAAGCAGGCUUCCCACUGAGCGAUGCGAAGCUCUAUCUCAGGACUCCGGGACCGUGACCUGAGCCGAAGGCAGACGCCUAACGACUGAGCCACCCAGGUUGCCUGUCUGUUAGCGUCCCCAGGUUGCUGUGACACACGACCGUGGACUACAGACGUCUGUUCUCUCCCCGUUCUGAGGCUGAAGUCAGAGAGCGACGUGUCUGCAGGGGGUCCUUCUGGGCUGGGAGGGAGAAUCUGCCCCAGGCCCCUGCCCGGCCUCUCGUGUCUGUGCGCAGUCGUUCAUCUUCCCACGGCAUUCUCUCCGUGUGCGUGUGUCCAGAUUUCUCUGUUUUACAGGACGACAGUCCUAUCAGAGUAAAGGCUUAUCUUGCUUUAACAUGAUUCAAUUUAACUUAACUGCUUACAUCUGUAACAGCUAUUUCCAAGCAAGGCCACAUUCUGGGGUGGUGGGAGUUAGGACUUCACAUAUGGAUUUUGAGGGACAGAAUUCAACCCCUAACACCAGCGAUUGGAUGCAGGGGCCACCCUAGUUGAGUGUAACCUCAUCAUCAAUUGAUCAUGUCAGCAAACACUCUAUUUCCAGAUAUGGUCACAUUCACGGGUACCGGGGCUAAGAUGGAAUGUUUCUGGAGGGGGACACCGCUCAGCCCACAACAGUGUCUACAAACCCGAUUCCGUCUGUUGCCUUCUGACCUGCAGCCUUGCUUUUACGGGUCUGGGGCGAGUCCAUGUGCGUAAGGCAGUGAGGGGACAGCCUGAUUUCUGAGUGCUCUGGUAGGGGGAGGCGAAGGGGACCCAGCCCCUCAGUCAGCGGCUCCAGGCGCUCCAGCACACAGCUCCAUCUCCAGGAGGGAAGAGGGACGCGUCCUCGGAAGGGGCCAGUACCCUGCACAGUGUACAAAAUGUUGUGUGCCAGGGGGAGGUGGCUGCAGAGGGGGUGAGAGUCCCUGAGCGGGGCUGACGACACCUAACAAGUGUAGAGCGCAUGGCUCCCACCCAAGGGGCGCCUGCCCACCUCCCUCUGAAGCACACCGCGGGACUCUGAGACAAGUGGUGGGUGGAAAGAGGUUCCCGAUUUUAAAACUUUGUGGGACCUGAGAAAUCCUGUCAUGCCCCCCAUUUAUUUUUAUUUAGUUUUGAGAGAGAGCACGCACACAGUGGGGAGGGGCAGAGGGAGA